UCCACAUAUCUCUCUGCCGUCCGAUCUCUCAAACACCAACCUGUAAAUUCAUCAACAAAGCGCGCCAAAUACAAAAAAAUUUAACUUCAUUUUCUUCGUCUUCUCUGCUCAUCGACAAAGCAAACGAACAGAAAAUUGAACAAAAUUCAGAAAAAAAUUCUGAUCCGGUCAACUGUUGAGUUAGCAGCUAAGGGUUUGUGUAGUAGUGUUGUUGAGUAUGGCGGAAGUUCCGGCGAGUCCAGGAGGUGGUUGUGGAAGCCAUGAAAGUGGAGGUGAACGGAGUCCUCAAUCGAAUGUGAGGGAACCGGAUAGGUACCUUCCGAUAGCAAAUAUUGGUCGUAUUAUGAAAAAGGCAUUGCCUGCUAAUGCUAAGAUAGCUAAGGAUGCGAAAGAUACUGUUCAGGAAUGUGUUUCUGAGUUCAUCAGCUUCAUCACCAGCGAGGCAAGUGACAAGUGUCAAAAAGAGAAGAGAAAGACGAUUAAUGGAGAUGAUUUGGUAUGGGCAUUGACCACCUUAGGAUUUGAGGACUACAUUGAGCCACUAAAGGCCUAUGUGAUUAGGUACAGAGAGAUGGAGGUAUGCAUUGCUUCCCCGCAUCAAUGAUAUAGAGUUGUUUAUUUUCUUUACCUCUGAUAUGUCACUAGCCAUGCCGUGGGGAUUGUUUCUAAUGUCAGGGAGACGUCAAGGGAUCUGCUAGGGCUGGAGAUACGUCUGCUAGAAAAGAUAUAGUUGGUGGUCAGCUCGGUUCCAGUACACAGUUUGUCUAUGAUGGGUCUUUUACACAAGGCUUAGACUAUGGGAACUCCCAAAUGUGAUAAAGGAUUAUAGUUUGGACAAUGGGUAGAUUAAAAGUGGUGUUCAUCGAGCUUGCUACCUCUCAAAAAGAGAGGGGUGGGGGAGAUGGUCGCCUACCUCUCAACAGCGUGUAUUAAGAAUUACAACGGUGCAGAUGCGAGUAUCUUCUGCCUUCCGGUCUUGAUGAUCUAUGUACUAAGCCAAUCAAUGUUAUGCUGAUAGUAUUUGUUUGAAAGCUGAAUUAACAGGACCGUUUCAACAAGUUUGGGGGCCUAAAGCGAAACUUCAUAGAGAGACCUUUUUCUUUUAGUUGUUAAAUUGAAUAACUAUAACAUACUCAAUGUAAUCCUAUAAGUGAAGUCUCGAGAAGGUAGGAUGCACAUAGACCUUAUGAAAUAAAAAUGUUAACAAUGAAAAUAUUCAAUGAAGAAAGUU